AGCAGCAAAAGGGAAAGGAGAGGACCAAAGGGGGAGCUCUGAUUGCCAUCUUUUUCUUGAUUCCAUGCUUCGAGGUGAAGGACAGUACAACCUGUGAAGUAUAUGGGGGAUCUGUUCCCAUUAGUUCCCAUGGGUGGUGAAAUGUCAAGGAAGAGACCAGGUCUUUAUAAGAGCAAGAGUAUUAAGCCUUCAGGAUCAGAGGUACAGUAAACGGGAUCUGCACAAGGUACAAAUGGUUUGUGCAUACUUUUCUAGAGCAACACCUGGAAGCUGAUUUUUUUGUGAGCUGCCUUGGGUCCCACUCCAAGAGAAAGGUGGCAUAUCAAUCAAUCAAUCAAGAAUCUUUAAGUUGCCAUCACUUUCCAGGCGUGGUGAAAAUGAUUAAUCUUCAGGAACUUGUCACUGGAUACAGGAAAAGCUUCCAGGAACGACGACUGAUGGCAUUGGCAACCAUGAAGCAUUGGAAAAAGUUGAUCUACUGUCUUUAUAUGGAAUACAUCCUGAUCACUGCCAGCCUUGACUUGGAACCCUAUGAACAAAUAAUUGUGCAUGGUUCCUUUACUGCCCUCUUUAUUAUGUUGGUGUUGACAGCUUAUAGGUUCAUUAAUCUGCAACUGCCUCUAGCUUUUCAGUACUUUCUAGAGUUCUUUCCUGUUGAGUAGCUACUUAACUAACCUAUACAGUUCUUUCUUGUUAAAUAGCCACUUAACUGACUACUACAUGUUAUGAUUGUGCCUGUGUGUCUUUAUGACUGCAUCUGUGUGUCUGUAUGUAAUUUCACCAUAUUGUUUUGUAAGCAAAAUAGUUUUAAAGCAUGUGUUUUAACUGCUCCUCCCACUUUGUCUCCUGCACUCCUAUAUGAGUUUACCAGUUCUGAUCAUUGAGUUUUAAGUUGUGAAUUGUGGAGACUAAGGGCUGGUACAGACGGCCCUAAAUGCCGCACCUUUUUGGAGUGGAAAAAAGUCACCCUUUCUGCCGCUCUUCUGUGCUCCUGCAGUGUCUGAACACUGUGCUGCUGGAGCGCCACAAUGCUGCCUGCCAUCUGGUCAGGCGGGCAGCGUGCCGCUGGCUUGAAGGUGGAAUCAGGGCGUGCAUCAUCUAAAUGCCAUCCCCCAAGCCGGUGCUUACUGCCGGUCCAUUUCAGACCUAUGAGAUUUAUUUAGAUCACCUAGGUCUAACUAAAGGUGAAAGAAAGUGAAUGAGAUGCUGAAAGAUAGAAAAAAAUGGAGCGAGAGAAAAAACAAAACAUUAAUGUGCAUCAUUAAAAGUACUUAAAGGUGAGCUUAAUGGUGCAGUACAAAACUUAUUUCCAAAUUCUGAAGAGAAGAAUGAAUACACUAAAAGAGCUAACCUAAUUUAUAGAAUUACAAUCCACACCUUCACAGCUGUAGUGAAAAAACAGUGAAAUAAAACAGCUACAUAUGCCAUAUGUUCAGGUAAUGAUAUUUCCUUGACCUGUUGAAGCAUAUCUGGCUGAUCAAUGAAAAUUUCAAAACAAUGUUCCCAUUACCAUAAGGCUCGCUGUUCCACUGCUGAACUUUAGAGUGACCUUGGGUGCAUUCCCACUAUGGUUAAAGCGAAUUGCUGAUUGGGUUAUAUGACCGUUGUUUCCAUUUGAGUGGUGUUGAUUCUACUUUGAUCAAUUUCUGUUGUGAUAGAGGCAAAUGCAAAAACAAAAAACAAAACCAGUUUUCCAGACCCUAGUUUCCUAACGGUUCUUUUGAAAAUAAUCGAUUCCAAAAUGUGUUCAUCAAGUAGAAACGAGGGAUCUGAAUCAUGUCAUUCUGGAGAGGAGAGACUAAUGGCAGAGGAGUGUUUACCAUCCUUCCUGAGUUUUUGGUAAAUCCACCAUUCCUCCCCCCCCCCCCCCGCCAACUCAACGCUGCCUUUGUGCUUAUGGUGUGACCAAUGGGCACAUGAUUUUUUUAAAAAAUAAAAUUGGUAGAAGAUUCGAUUGAUUGGU